rnacentral:rRNA from 1 species
AACGAACGCUGGCGGCGUGGAUAAGACAUGCAAGUCGAACGAUCACUAUUGGGUAGCAAUAUUCGGUAGUGGGAGUGGCGCAAGGGUGCGUAACACGUGGGUAAUUUGCCGUAAAGUCUGGGAUAACUUGCUGAAAGGCGAGCUAAUACCGGAUGUGAUUGCUGGAGGGCAUCCUCUGGCACUUAAAGUCGGGGACCGUAAGGCCUGACACUUUUCGAUAAGCCCGCGGCCUAUCAGCUAGUUGGUGAGGUAACGGCUCACCAAGGCUAAGACGGGUAGCUGGUCUGAGAGGACGACCAGCCUCACUGGAACUGAGACACGGUCCAGACACCUACGGGUGGCAGCAGUCGAGAAUUUUUCUCAAUGGGGGAAACCCUGAAGGAGCGACGCCGCGUGGGGGAUGAAUGGCUUCGGCCCGUAAACCCCUGUCAUUUGCGAUCAAACCUUACGACCUAACACGUCGUGAGCUGAUAGUAGCGGAAGAGGAAGGGACGGCUAACUCU